rnacentral:rRNA from 1 species
UACGUAGGGGGCAAGCGUUGUCCGGAUUUAUUGGGCGUAAAGAGCGUGUAGGCGGCCAGACAGGUCCGUUGUGAAAACUCGAGGCUCAACCUCGAGACGCCGAUGGAAACCGUCUGGCUAGAGUCCGGAAGAGGAGAGUGGAAUUCCUGGUGUAGCGGUGAAAUGCGCAGAUAUCGAGAGGAACACCGGUGGCGAAGGCGGCCUUCUGGACAGUGACUGACGCUGAGACGCGAAAGCGUGGGGAGCAAACAGG